GGCUUGUGGCUCAGAGGAAGAGUACUCGCCUAGCAUGUGUGAGCCACUGGGUUCAAUUCUCAGCACCA
rnacentral:tRNA from 1 species